rnacentral:rRNA from 1 species
UACAGAGGGGGCAAGCGUUGUUCGGAAUUACUGGGCGUAAAGGGCGCGUAGGUGGCCUUCUAAGUUGAACGUGAAAUCCCUGGGCUCAACCCAGGAACUGCGUCCAAGACUGGGAGGCUUGAAUCCGGGAGAGGGAUGCGGAAUUCCAGGUGUAGCGGUGAAAUGCGUAGAUAUCUGGAGGAACACCGGUGGCGAAGGCGGCCAUCUGGACGGUAACUGACGCUGAGACGCGAAAGCGUGGGUAGCAAACAGG